AUUUUGGACAAUGGGGGAAACCCUGAUCCAGCCAUCCCGCGUGUAUGAUGAAGGCCUUCGGGUUGUAAAGUACUUUUGGCAGAGAAGAAAAGGUACCUCCUAAUACGAGGUACUGCUGCCGGUAUCUGCAGAAUAAGCACCGGCUAACUACGUGCCAGCAGCCUCGGUAAUACGUAGGGUGCAAGCGUUCAUCGGAAUUACUGGGUGUAAAGCGAGUGAAGGCGGUUCGGAAAGAAAGAUGUGAAAUCCCAGGGCUCAACCUUGAAACUGCAUUUUUAACUGCCGAGCUAGAGUAUGGCAGAGGGGGGUAGAAUUCCACGUGUAGCAGUGAAAUACGUAGAUAUGGGGAGGAAUACCGAUGGCGAAGGCAGCCCCCUGGGAUAAUACUGACGCUCAGACACGAAAGCGUGGGGAGCAAACA
rnacentral:rRNA from 1 species